rnacentral:rRNA from 1 species
CCAAGUCAACGAUCGGUAGCCGGACUGAGAGGUUGAACGGCCACAUUGGGACUGAGACACGGCCCAGACUCCUACGGGAGGCAGCAGUGGGGGAUAUUGCACAAUGGGCGAAAGCCUGAUGCAGCGACGCCGCGUGAGGGAAGACGGCCUUCGGGUUGUAAACCUCUGUCAUUCGGGACGAAUAGAUGACGGUACCGAAGAAGGAAGCUCCGGCUAACUAC